CCUACGGGAGGCUGCAGUCGAGAAUCAUUCACAAUGGGGGAAACCCUGAUGGUGCGACGCCGCGUGGGGGAAUGAAGGUCUUCGGAUUGUAAACCCCUGUCAUGUGGGAGCAAAUUAAAAAGAUAGUACCACAAGAGGAAGAGACGGCUAACUCUGUGCCAGCAGCCGCGGUAAUACAGAGGGCUCAAGCGUUGUUCGGAAUCACUGGGCGUAAGGCGUGCGUAGGCUGUUUCGUGAGUCGUGUGUGAAAGGCGCGGGCUCAACCCGCGGACGGCACAUGAUACUGCGAGACUAGAGUAAUGGAGGGGGAAGCGGAAUUCUCGGUGUAGCAGUGAAAUGCGUAGAUAUCGGGAGGAACACUCGUGGCGAAGGCGGGUUCCUGGACAUUAACUGACGCUGAGGCACGAAGGCCAGGGGAGCGAAAGGGAUUAGAUACCCCAGUAGUC
rnacentral:rRNA from 1 species